GUGUGUCAGUGUGUCUGUGUGUGUAUGUCAGUAUGUCUGUCAUAGACACACACAGACAUACUGACAUACAUACACAAACAGACAU